rnacentral:rRNA from 1 species
ACUUUCGAUGGUAGGAUAGAGGCCUACCAUGGUGGUAACGGGUAACGGGGUGUUAGGGCACGACACCGGAGAGGGAGCCUGAGAAACGGCUACCACAUCCAAGGAUGGCAGCAGGCGCGCAAAUUACCCAAUCCCGACACGGGGAGGUAGUGACAAUAAAUAACAAUACGGGGUCCUUUCGGGUUUCGUAAUUGGAAUGAGUACAAUUUAAAUCUCUUAACGAGGAACAAUUGGAGGGCAAGUCUGGUGCCAGCAGCCGCGGUAAUUCCAGCUCCAAUAGCGUAUAUUAAAGUUGUUGCAGUUAAAAAGCUCGUAGUUGAAUUUCGGGAUCAGUACGCCGGUUGUGCUUCGGUAUGCACUGGUGUCACUGGUUCCUCCCUUCUGAAGAACCAUCAUGCCAUUCAGUUGGUGUGGCGGGGGAAUCAGGACUGUUACUUUGAAAAAAUUAGAGUGUUUAAAGCAGGCUCGCGCUUGAAUACAUUAGCAUGGAAUAAUGAAAUAGGACGUUUGACCCUAUUUUGUUGGUUUCUAGGAUCGACGUAAUGAUUAAUAGGGAUAGUUGGGGGCAUUAGUAUUCAAUUGUCAGAGGUGAAAUUCUUGGAUUUAUUGAAGACUAACUACUGCGAAAGCAUUUGCCAAGGAUGUUUUCAUUAAUCAAGAACGAAAGUUAGGGGAUCGAAGACGAUCAGAUACCGUCGUAGUCUUAACCAUAAACUAUGCCGACUAGGGAUCGGAUGAUGUUAAUUUUUGAAUGACUCAUUCGGCGCCUUACGGGAAACCAAAGUGUUUGGGUUC